ACUGAGGUGAGCUAGGGUUCCGGUCGCUCUUCGUUGGUUGCGAUGCCUGGUCCGAGAGCUUGUCGGCUUUGCAACUGCAGAGCUCCACGGAGGGAUAAAAGCCCGGGAGGA
rnacentral:sRNA from 6 species